rnacentral:rRNA from 3 species
GAAGUGUUCGGAUUGCGGCGACGUGGGCGGUUCGCUGCCCGCGACGUUGUGAGAAGUCCACUGAACCUUAUCAUUUAGAGGAAGGAGAAGUCGUAACAAGGUUUCCGUAGGUGAACCUGCGGAAGGAUCAUUG